CAUCAUUGAUUUAGAUAAUUUUUUAAAAUACCAAUCCACUAAGAUUUAUUGAGAAAACAUCAAGAAAGAAUAAUAAUAAUCAUUUUACCUUUACUUAAAUGGUCCUGAAGUCCAAGUUGGCAAGUAAAUGCCUGUUCUCCAUAAACAAGAAAAAACCCAAACCCCAACUCACAAUAAAAAUGAAAGGAAAGGUAAGCCAAGAAACUUCAAAUACAUGCUAUUAUACAAUCUUUUAAAAUCCCAAUGACCAUCUGAUACAAGGUUUUCUUUACAAUCAAUCAAGUCCAAUAUAGAUAACAGCAAUAAACUUGCUGCCAGUACCACGCAGGAUAAGCCCCAACAAAUGAAUUUGACGGACGGAAUUUCAAGGCCAAGCUAAUAUAUACUAACUGAAGACGCGAUAAUGCAAUAAUAAGAGUACAUGGCUCUUAUAUAACAGAAUUUGCAAUAUUACAGAAUGGAGGCCUCCAAAAUUUAGCUUUCAUCACUAGAGGGCUCAAAGGUGCCCCUUAAGUAGCCCAUGUAAAGUCAAAUACAUAACUAGAAGAUGCACUUCCUUUGCUGUAUUUUGGUAUGGUCGUCAUGGUUUUUUACACGUCCAGGUUCAACAUACUUUUAAAAAUCUUUUCAGUUGCAUGGCGCUAAUGAAGGAAUUGACCAAAAACAAUGGAAUCCAACAAACUGAUUCUUGCAUAUUGGGGGCUUGUCGAACAGAAACCUCUGUAUAUAACAUAGAAUCCUACAUAACAAAAAAAAAAAACACAUAAGAAUUGGAGUAAAAAGAGCAUUAUCCUUGUUGCCUACAACAAUGAAAACAUUCCUAGAUCCUCUAGCCUAGCCUUGUGAAAGCCAACAAGAAACCUGUUUCAAACCACAACCCCUACUCCCAAUUGUGUGACCCGGAACGGAAGGACAUGUAUUAUAACAUAUAUAAAAAUAAAAGUGUCACAACAAUAGGAUUUAAAGAAGUAAGUUAGAAGGGCCACGGCAUCCAUCCUGAUAUAAAGCAUAUGGGAUGUCUCAAUAAUCAGAUUCAUGUUAAGAAGCAGUAAACCUUACUUUGACUCUAACUGUAUGAGGAAUUAGGUAUCUAUAACUAUUCAUUCCAAAUUUGGCUAAUAACCACCUGACAUAUCACAUGGGCUUUUGUUUUACAGUGACAAGGCCCUCUACAUUGCGUCAUUUCUUGAACACAAACUUUCAUCUUGCUUCCAGGAUGAUGAGCGAAAAUGUUCAUAUCAGUGGCACUGUUCAAUCUACAUGGUGGUGCUCAUGCUUUGGGGAUUGCCUGUCAUUGACAACUAAAUACUCUUUGUACAGCAAAGAGUGAUUUCGGAAUGUUUUCCACUGUCUAACCUUUUUUCGUGUAUAGAGAUAGUAACCUCUUAACUAAGCAGCAUUCAAUCUAGCAUUGGCCUUGAGAUCCUCUCAGGAAUUUUUACAAUGCACGUCUUCUGCAUUUUUUCUGACCCCCCACCCCCCUCUUUGUGGAGAAGGCUCUUAGACCGCUCCAAGGUUGCAACUCCUCUUCUUUCUGGUAAUAUAGUAUUAGCCGGUCCCCUAAAUAGAUAUUUAGAGGCUUCUUUCAUUCGAAGACAAUCUAUUCUUAGCAAGACUGAUGGGCUAAAGGAAAUUAAAAAAUGACUUCUGAGAUAAGCAUUAAAUGUUAACCGAUCGUAUAGAAAUGGAACAUAAAAUAAGGAUCUUAGAAGUAAGCACAGAACUUUGAUAAAUUGUGUCCAUGCAACAAAGAUCACAACUACAAAGUGGAAUUGAAAGUUGCAUGAAAGGAAAGAUAAUUGAUUGAAAUAGAAAUUAAAAUUGACAUAAAAUUGAACUGCCAAAACCAAUCCGACGCCCACGUACAACUUUUUCCCCCUUUUCAUCAAGUAGUGGCUCUUAUCCCUCGAUUGGAAUGGCAUAGCAAUGUGUCCCAGUUCAAGACCUAAGAAUCGAGGCACUGACAGGACAUGGACAACGGAUUCACAAAAAAAAACAAUUUUUAUAAUAUAUUAUUAUGCCUGAAAAAUAUAAUGGAAUUAUUAUUAAUUUUAUUAAUAAAAGAUUAAUAAGAAAGUAAGAGGAGAGAGAUAAACAAACAAAACACGGCGAUAUACACAGCAGCUUCUCAAACUCUCUCUCUCACCAAGAGAAGACACACACCCCCAAGGCCCAACAGACUGACUGUUACAGAAUAAAAAAGAGAAAAAACAUUCUUAAUAGGCAAAGAUAGUUAAAAUACGGAGAUAGGGUAGAGAACUCACCGGAAAAGGAGCCGAAGAAGGUCGUGACUCGUGAGAGGUCAAUGGAGGUUCACCUGAGAUCAAUCGGCUCGCUGGAGGUUCGACGGAGAUCUAUGGAGGUUCGACGGAGAUCGCUGGGCUUGCUGGAGG
rnacentral:lncRNA from 1 species